GCUGCUGCUGCUACUGCUGCUGCUGCUGCUGCUACUGCUGCUGCUGCUGCUACUGCUACUACUACUGCUGCUGCUGCUGCUGCUGCUGC
rnacentral:sRNA from 1 species